rnacentral:rRNA from 1 species
AUGAACGCUGGCGGCGUGCCUAAUACAUGCAAGUCGAGCGAACAGACGAGGAGCUUGCUCCUCUGACGUUAGCGGCGGCCGGGUGAGUAACACGUGGAUAACCUACCUAUAAGACUGGGAUAACUUCGGGAAACCGGAGCUAAUACCGGAUAAUAUAUUGAACCGCAUGGUUCAAUAGUGAAAGACGGUUUUGCUGUCACUUAUAGAUGGAUCCGCGCCGCAUUAGCUAGUUGGUAAGGUAACGGCUUACCAAGGCAACGAUGCGUAGCCGACCUGAGAGGGGGAUCGGCCACACUGGAACUGAGACACGGUCCAGACGCCUACGGGAGGCAGCAGUAGGGAAUCUUCCGCAAUGGGCGAAAGCCUGACGGAGCAACGCCGCGUGAGUGAUGAAGGUCUUCGGAUCGUAAAACUCUGUUAUUAGGGAAGAACAAAUGUGUAAGUAACUAUGCACGUCUUGACGGUACCUAAUCAGAAAGCCACGGCUAACUACGUG